rnacentral:rRNA from 1 species
UUGCAAUGGGCGGAACCUGAUGCAGCACGCCGCGUGAGUGAUGAAGGCCUUCGGGUUGUAAACCUCUGUCACCAGGGGCGAAGGUGUCGGUUCCCCUGCAGGAGUGCCCGGACCUUAUCAUGACCCUACCCCCACGUAUGUAACGUCGCCGCGAUAAAUAUAAUAA